rnacentral:rRNA from 1 species
UACAGAGGGUGCGAGCGUUGUCCGGAAUCACUGGGCGUAAAGGGCGCGUAGGCGGCCCGGUAAGGUUGCGGUGAAAGCCCGGGGCUCAACCCCGGGUCGGCCGUGGCAACUGCUGGGCUGGAGCACAGUAGAGGCGGGUGGAAUUCCGGGUGUAGCGGUGGAAUGCGUAGAGAUCCGGAAGAACACCGGUGGCGAAGGCGAUCACCUGGGGUUGUUCUGACGCUGAGGAGCGAAAGCUAGGGGAGCAAACAGG